rnacentral:lncRNA from 1 species
AGGAUUGGGAAGCAUUCGAGCUAGAGGUCAGACAAAAGCCGAUGGUAUAAAGUCACUUUAUCUUAAUUUUUUGAUCUUCUCUUCCCACAUCUAAGGGAGUUUUGCUGAGUCAUUGAUGAGUUCUCGAUCGUAAUCUAAUGAGAAAAAGAUCAGAUUUGUUAGAAAAUAUACCUCGAGAUUCGAUCCAUAUUGAGCCCACAGUAAGGUCCAAGAUGAC